AAUAAAGUGGCCGAAGAGGAGGUGUUAGUCUCUUAAAUUAAUUAUGGAAAAUGUAGUUA
rnacentral:tRNA from 1 species